AAAUUGCCCCAAAUGUGCAGCAAGUGGGUGAGAAAGUGGGAUAACACAGAACUGUUGUGAACAGUUGAUCAUUAGUUGGCAUGUACUAUGUGGGUGAAACGGCC